AGGUGAAGUGAGUUGGUAGAUUUUGCUAUAUCUAGUUGUCGAUUGAACUCGUUUGUCGUUUUGGGCUGUUUGGUGCCUUUGCAUGCAUGGCGUCGUCUCUCGCAUUCAAACCAUUUCUGGGAUCUUCAAGGACUGAAGGGCUUUCUGGGUUGUGUUCCCGUCGGUCUGAUCUUCGAAACCUGUCGUCCUCCUCGGUGCAAUUCUCGGUCCGCCCUCCAACCUUCAAGAAACUCAAAGUGCAGGCAGCUGGGAAUACUUCUGGAAACUACUUUCGUGUUACAACUUAUGGAGAAUUUCGUCGUGCUGGUGUUAGUUUUGUAAUGGAUGGAGUUCCUCCUCGGAGUCAACUAUCUGUAGCUGAUUUGCAAGCGGACCUCAACAGAAUAAGGAGGCCAGGUAAUAACAAAGAUGAGACAUGCAUGAUACUCUCGGGAGUCCAUGAAGGACUGACUCUUGGUACACCAAUUCAUGUGUUUAUACCCAAUCCUGAUCAGAGAGGCCGAUGUGGUUAUGAAGAUUUCUCCGUAGCUUAUAGGCCUUUACAUGCAGAACUAACAUACGACAUGAAGUAUGGUAUCAGAUCAAUGCUGAAGGGUGGUGGUAUAUUUUCAGCAAGGAAAACCAUAGGAAGAGUUGCUGCAGGAGCAGCUGCCAAGAAAAUCCUUAAGGACUUGGCCGGAAUCGAGGUUCUUGGCUAUGUUUCACAAGUUCACAAGGUUGUCCUCCCGGAGGACUUGGUUGAUCAUGACACACACUAGAUCAGAUAGAGAGAAAUAGAGUUAGGUGUCCAGAUCAUGAAUACGCAGAGAAGAUGAUAGCUGCCAUCGAUGCUGUUAGGUCUAGAGGGGAGGAUCGAUCUAUUGGUGGUGCUGUUACAUGCAUCGUUAGGAAUUUCCAACCGGGUCUUCUCAAUUCGCCUUUCCUUGACAAACUUGGAGCUGAACUUGCCAAAGCUUGUCUGUCAUUACCUGCAACAAAGGGAUUUGAAUUGGGAAGAGGGCUUGGAUCGAGUACCUUAAACAUGAGGACAGCUUUCAAGCCAACAGCUGCAAAUGCAAGAAACCAGAAUGCAGCGACUACAGAUAAGGAGAGUGAACUAAUGGAUGCUUGUGUUGUCCCCCGAGCGGUUCCAGUGGUGGAGGCUCAAGUGGCGCUGGUGCUCAUGGAUGAAUUAAUGGCUCAAUACACCUAAAUCCAUCCUUUUCCUUGUACAUGUACUCUUGAUGUAUGAAUCAUUGGACGAACCAUGGCUUUACUGCAUGUACUUUUGUAACAAGCAUGAGUUAGUUUUGGACUUGAGAAUGACAAAACAAAAUCAAAUUUAUGUUUCCUAGUUGAAAACUUGAAUGAUAUGAUCCUAGCA